AUGCUCCAUAGAAAUGAUUUUUUUCUUCCUGACUAUACUUGUGUACUUUGUGGCCUGCAGGCUUUGGAAGCUAGGGACCAUCUUUUUUUUCACUGCCCUUUUGCCAAGGUAUGCUGGACAUAUCUCCGCCCCACUUGGACUCCAAGCUUCCAAGGCAUACAACAAGAGCCCAACAGAUUAAAAGACAUUUUGGGAGUCCCAUUCUCUCUUGAGAUUAUCAUUUUGGCUGGAUGGGCAAUUUGGAUCACCAAAAAUGGUUUUAUAUUCAAGGGUAUAGCACCUAAUCUCUACAGAUGCAGGAAGACGUUCAAGGAGGAAUUGAAUUGUCUGGUGCACAGAGUUAACAGGAAAGAGUUUGUGAACCUUGAAGAGUGGGUCAAAGCCUUCAGAUGA
rnacentral:rRNA from 1 species